CAAACUGGGAUUAGAUACCCCACUAUGCUUAGCCCUAAACAUAGACACUCAAUUAACAAGACUGUUCGCCAGAGGACUACUAGCUACUGCUUAAAACUCAAAGGACUUGGCGGUGCUUUACAUCCCUCUAGAGGAGCCUGUUCU
rnacentral:rRNA from 1 species